rnacentral:rRNA from 1 species
AACGAACGCUGGCGGCAUGCCUAACACAUGCAAGUCGAACGAGAUCUUCGGGUCUAGUGGCGCACGGGUGCGUAACGCGUGGGAAUCUGCCCUUUGGUUCGGAAUAACAGUUGGAAACGACUGCUAAUACCGGAUGAUGACGAAAGUCCAAAGAUUUAUCGCCAGAGGAUGAGCCCGCGUAGGAUUAGCUAGUUGGUGUGGUAAAGGCGCACCAAGGCGACGAUCCUUAGCUGGUCUGAGAGGAUGAUCAGCCACACUGGGACUGAGACACGGCCCAGACUCCUACGGGAGGCAGCAGUGGGGAAUAUUGGACAAUGGGCGAAAGCCUGAUCCAGCAAUGCCGCGUGAGUGAUGAAGGCCUUAGGGUUGUAAAGCUCUUUUACCCGGGAUGAUAAUGACAGUACCGGGAGAAUAAGCCACGGCAAACUUCGUGCCAGCCGCCGCGGUAA